GCUCUGUUGAGCAGGGACCCAGGAGUCACAACCUCUUUGUUAAAACUGACAAAAGAGGUGGGAGAUAAACUCUAGGAGGAACGGAAUCGGGGUGAUUUAACCUGCCGAAGGGGAAGCUGGAAGGGAACAAAAUCACAGGCUUCAUACAUAUGAAGAGAUAUUAUAAUAGGGGAUGCUGAGCAGCUGUUCCGGAUUCCUCAGAGGGAAGGAAAAACUUCUGUCAUGUCCCAGCCGGGUGUGGAAAAAUACCACCAGGAGGAUUCAGUUCUCAGAGCAAGAGUUCUCAGCUGAUCACCAAAGCAGAUGAUCACCCAAAAGACAGAAACAAACCACGGGCUGUCAUCACUACAGGACAGCAAAACAACCGGCUGCACAGCUGCAGGUGCUGUAACUGAAGCUACCGCUACUGGUCAGGUUGCCACCAGAAGAGUUGCCUCAGAAAGAAGUUGAAAACCACUGAGGACCAGGGAAGAAACUGCUGAGAUGCUUUCCCUGGGACAGCCUUGCCAGGAGCCACCAUGGGUCCCACAUCGGGAGCCACAUACCCAGUGACAGGAGAUGGAGACGAAUGGACAUGAUACAACUGCAUCUGGCUAAUUUAUCCAAAAGGCAACUAAACCAACAGCAUAAUAUCAAGUACUUCAUGUGCAAAGAUGAUGCUAAGUCCUGUCAGAAACUACAAAGGUACUAAGCAAGAUCCCCGCCCUCAAAGAGUUGACUAGAUUGUUGAUGAAACAGACCUAUUAAAAAUAAAAGAUGGAAUUAAACAAUCGCAUCAGAUAGGUGUUAAGGACUGGUAUCCACUAAAAGGACUGAGGAUCUACAGGCGGGAAGACCUGAUGGGGUACUUGGAAGGUUUUGUAGCAAGCUGGAGUUUUGGCCAGAUCUUGCAGACUGGAUUGAAUCUGGGUCAGUGGAGAGGAAGAAGAAAAGCGGUGGUGUGUGGGAGCCAGCUGACACCGUCUUGUGAGGUCUGGUGGUUACCUUUAUCAGGAAUACUGUCAGCCAAUUGUUAAAUGCAGCCAUUACUAAAAAUUAAAUUACAAAAUCUUAAAAUUAAAUAAAUUACACCUUUUAGAUUAUAUUUAUAAUAUAUUACUUAAUAUGAUAAUAGAUAAUAUAGAAUUAAUAUGUAAUUGAACAUUAUCUAAAUAAACACUCAG